rnacentral:rRNA from 1 species
AACGAACGCUGGCGGCAUGCCUAACACAUGCAAGUCGAACGAACCCUUCGGGGUUAGUGGCGCACGGGUGCGUAACGCGUGGGAAUCUGCCCUUUGCUUCGGAAUAACUCAGGGAAACUUGUGCUAAUACCGGAUGAUGUCUUCGGACCAAAGAUUUAUCGGCAAGGGAUGAGCCCGCGUAGGAUUAGGUAGUUGGUGGGGUAAAGGCCUACCAAGCCGACGAUCCUUAGCUGGUCUGAGAGGAUGAUCAGCCACACUGGGACUGAGACACGGCCCAGACUCCUACGGGAAGCAGCAGUGGGGAAUAUUGGACAAUGGGCGCAAGCAUGAUCCAGCAAUGCCGCGUGAGUGAUGAAGGCCCUCGGGUCGUAAAGCUCUUUUACCAGGGAUGAUAAUGACAGUACCUGGAGAAUAAGCUCCGGCUAACUCCGUG